AUGGCGCGACGAUAAAUACGCGCAACGAUUUUGCUUCCGACGCACAUAUGUCCAUGGCACGCAGGAAGCGAAUCCGGGAUUCUCAACCCCCAUCGGGAGACCCGGAGCCCUGAGCGGACAUCCAUGCGGCUGUGCACCGGCCCCGUGUGGAUGUCCGCUGAUUUUUUU
rfam:Mumia flava strain MTSC 201 Contig130, whole genome shotgun sequence.